rnacentral:sRNA from 1 species
UGCUCUGCCUGGCCCAGACCAUCCACACGCAGGAGGGGGCCCUGCCCAGACCCUCCAUCUCGGCUGAGCCAGGCACUGUGAUCCCCCAGGGGAGCCAUGUGACUUUCGUGUGCCGGGGCCCGGUUGGGGUUCAAACAUUCCGCCUGGAGAGGGAGAGUAGAUCCACAUACAAUGAUACUGAAGAUGUGUCUCAAGCUAGUCCAUCUGAGUCAGAGGCCAGAUUCCGCAUUGACUCAGUAAGUGAAGGAAAUGCCGGGCUUUAUCGCUGCAUCUAUUAUAAGCCCCC